rnacentral:rRNA from 1 species
GACGAACGCUGGCGGCGUGCUUAACACAUGCAAGUCGAACGAAGUGGCGAACGGGAGAGUAACGCGUAAUCAAACUGCCCUUCAGAGGGGGACAACAGUUGGAAACGACUGCUAAUACCGCAUAAUGAAGGAGGGGAUUGCGUGGGAUUAGCUAGUUGGAGGGGUAACGGCCCACCAAGGCGAUGAUCAGUAGCCGGUCUGGGAGGGUGAACGGCCAAAUUGGGACUGAGACACGGCCCAGAAUCCUAAGGGAGGCAGCAGUGGGGAAUCUUCCGCAAUGGACGAAAGUCUGACGGAGCAACGCCGCGUGAGUGAUGACGGCCUUCGGGUUGUAAAGCUCUGUUAAUCGGGACGCGGUACCGGAAUAGAAAGCCACGGCUAACUACGUGCCAGCAGCCGCGGUAAUUC